GUGAACACGGCCUAAAGCUUACGAUUAAGAUUUGGAACAAGCAGAGCCGUCAAUUAGAAGCAUUCUAAGUCACGCCUAUACUUGUAAUUUCACAAUUCCCUUUAUCUCGAACAUCGAGCACGAAACUCGCCAGCCUAAAGUGACGGUACCACCGGCCGCCAUCUCACCAUCUGACCUACUACAGCCAGUCAAUUGGCAGAACAUUGGAAAAUAUAUAUAAUUAUAGAAUAGUAACGGAGAAUUUAAAGUUGAUGUGUCGGUUGUAAAGACAUCAGAAUUGGGCACUGACAUCAGAAAGACAACAUAAUUUUCUCGUACACCGUGAACCAGAAGCGAUUCAAGUUAAAUGGAACAAGCGCAGAUUAACGUGCAAGAAGAAAAAACGAUACGGCUUCGUCACACCGGAAUUUAAGAUGCUAAUACACGAUAAAAAUAUUGUUGAAAUAAAGAAGAGAACUUUUAAAUUAAUAAUUUUGGAUUCAAUCUUCAUUACAGUGUUCAUAAUUAAACCACAAUCCGGAGAUUAAGACCGUACGUUUAAUUUAAUAUGCACAAAACCUGAA